GAUGAACGCUGGCGGCGUGCCUAAUACAUGCAAGUCGAGCGAACAGACGAGGAGCUUGCUCCUCUGACGUUAGCGGCGGACGGGUGAGUAACACGUGGAUAACCUACCUAUAAGACUGGGCUAACUUCGGGAAACCGGAGCUAAUACCGGAUAAUAUAUUGAACCGCAUGGUUCAAUAGUGAAAGACGGUUUUGCUGUCACUUAUAGAUGGAUCCGCGCCGCAUUAGCUAGUUGGUAAGGUAACGGCUUACCAAGGCAACGAUGCGUAGCCGACCUGAGAGGGGGAGCGGCCACACUGGAACUGAGACACGGUCCAGACUCCUACGGGAGGCAGCAGUAGGGAAUCUUCCGCAAUGGGCGAAAGCCUGACGGAGCAAAGCCGCGUGAGUGAUGAAGGUCUGCGGAUCGUAAAACUCUGUUAUUAGGGAAGAACAAAUGUGUAAGUAACUAUGCACGUCUUGACGGUACCUAAUCAGAAAGCCACGGCUAACUACGUG
rnacentral:rRNA from 1 species